rnacentral:rRNA from 1 species
AUGAACGCUGGCGGCGUGCCUAAUACAUGCAAGUCGAGCGAACAGAUAAGGAGCUUGCUCCUUUGACGUUAGCGGCGGACGGGUGAGUAACACGUGGGUAACCUACCUAUAAGACUGGGAUAACUUCGGGAAACCGGAGCUAAUACCGGAUAACAUUUGGAACCGCAUGGUUCUAAAGUGAAAGAUGGUUUUGCUAUCACUUAUAGAUGGACCCGCGCCGUAUUAGCUAGUUGGUAAGGUAACGGCUUACCAAGGCGACGAUACGUAGCCGACCUGAGAGGGUGAUCGGCCACACUGGAACUGAGACACGGUCCAGACUCCUACGGGAGGCAGCAGUAGGGAAUCUUCCGCAAUGGGCGAAAGCCUGACGGAGCAACGCCGCGUGAGUGAUGAAGGGUUUCGGCUCGUAAAACUCUGUUAUUAGGGAAGAACAAAUGUGUAAGUAACUGUGCACGUCUUGACGGUACCUAAUCAGAAAGCCACGGCCAACUACGU